UGAGCUGCGAAGGCUGCGUGUUUGGAAAUCGCCAGCUAAAUCAAUUCAAUUUUUGCUCGUUAAAUGCUCACUUAGUAGAGGCAAUAAAGCGAAGAACUAGGUGCUGUUUUAAUGAACAAGAAAUUUCUGGCAGCUUCCAGACCUCAAGUUCAGCAAUGGACUGGAUUAUCCGUACUUCAUAUGACUUCAUACUAGCCCCUGCUUUAUUCAUGAGCACAGUCAACUGAAAGAAAUCGAGAUAUGAAACGGAAAGCAGGAUAUUCGAGCUCUAAAUUGGCCUGGGCCGAAAGGACAUCACAGCAGCCCAGGAGCGGGAAAACCCAGUGAAAACUGCAGCACAACACACACACACAAAGGGCCGGAAAGCGGACGGAAAGACGGGCGGACAUAUGUAUGGCCGGAGAGGCAUAUAGACAGACGGUCCAAGGGCCAGGACGGAACGUCACAUGCUCAUCAAUCGGUCGCUCACAUUUGCAACAAUGCAGAGUGAUGUCCGUGCACCUUGGAGAGGAAGUACACGGAGGAAAAUAGGGGCGAAAAUAGAAAGUAUUCCAAAUACAUACAAAUAUUCUGUAAUUUAUAUUGAAUUAAUUGUUAUAAUAUUUCUUUUGUAAUUUUUAAACAAGCCUGAAUCUAUGUUAUCUAAUUUACCCCAGGUUUAAGAGGUUUUAAUAAGAAGUAGUUUAAAUCCUUUUUGUUUUACCAGCUUUGCUAUACCGAAAAACAUUUUUAUAUAAUUUAAAAAUGCAAUUUUUUGUAGUACACUUGUACUUGCAAGGCUUUAAUCAUUUUUCUUUCAGUGCACAGGGGUUCAGAGCCUGGCAGACGAUGACAGUUGACGAUAAGCGGUCGAGUGGCUGAAUCCUUGUGUGCUCUGUACCUCUUUUUUCCCCCAUUGCUGAGUCCUCGAAUGUUGUGACUGCCUUUGGUUUGUUGUUGGCCAAACAAACACUGACGAGCGAAAGACGAGGAGAAAGCGGUGAAAGGGGGGAGAGAGAGUGCCAAGAGAAUCAGCAGAACCUUCUCCACGUUGGCCUCAUUUGACUCUAGCCUUUUUCCUCGCUUAAUCCAUUUAAUUGCAUUUUUUCGUACUUUCUGCUGCAGCAGUUAAGCCUUUGGGCCUUUGUUCUUGGGCAUUCCAGUGCACACGGGUCGUAUGUGGAACGUGAGAACGAAUUACGCAUACGCCCCAGUAACCCAUCCAUCGAAGCAUUCAAAUAUUCAUUUGCAAUUUGGUGGCUAAUGAAAAUUCGUUAGAAAUGCAUUCCGAGAGCCACCCAGAAACCAAACACACAAACCAAGCCACCCGACUUGUCCUUGUGCCACUUUCAAUCCAACUCUUCCGACUGAGCGACUGUCUGACGUUUCGUAUCAAAUUAUCUAUAAAUUGCGAUUGCCUAGGCACGCCAUCAAUGCAAGGGAAUAUCCUCAGGCGGAAAUGGAGGAGGGGCUGGGUGUGGAUAAAUCCAGUUCGUGUUCGCUGAUUGUUCCUUUUUGCCUUACAUUGUCGUGUGAAGUUUUUCAUAUCACUCCAUUGAACACAUGCACGGAUAGCCAGUGAUGGCGAUUCCAUGGGUGGUUGUACCCAAGUAAAUAGAAUAGUUUUCUAAGGUAUACUUAGGUACACAAACACGAGACUUUCUUGAAUUUUAAAUUAAUUUAACUAUACUGGAAUAAUUAAUUUGAUUAAUAUUAGUACCUUUAUUAUAUCUAAAAGGGUGCCAAGUAUUUCUCUAUGUUCCCUUUUCUAUAAACGGUUAUUUAUUAAAGUCUCACAGCUCUAAAUAUUUGAUAAAAUAUUUAUGGCUAUUUGCACAAUUUUGAACCAUUUAAUAUUCUGUACUUUAGAAUAAAUAAACAUUUUCCAUCCCAUCACUGCGUACAACAUGUACUCACACACUAGUGCAAUCAAUUUCCAAUGAGAAAAUAAACAAGAAAAAUACCCAAAACAGGAGAAAAAAGAAUGUAAAACUGCCUGCUGCCAAGUCUUGCCAUUUGCCCGAGAUUUGAAUUUAAUUUUGAGGUCAGACAAAGGCAAAGAGUUUUGGGCCGAGGAGGUUGUUUGUGCCUCAAGUGUUGCCUGCAUAAAAAAAUGCAAUAAAUAUUUAAAUUACUAUAUCCACAUGCUGCACGCAAAUGGAGAACGUAUUCACAAGGGGCUUUUCCGCCGGGAUGGGGAGACUUCUCGAAAAACUAGGCUAAAUGUGGAUCGCACUACAAAAUAAUUAAAAGAAAUGUUGCAGAGAAAUUGAAAUGAGUGUCGAGUGUGGGAGUCACAUAAAAUGUUAAGGAAUUGGCAAGUGAAUAGUUUCAGUUCACAAGGGUGUUAUGGGGGACUUAAAAAGAAGAUUGAUUGAGUUCUUAAGUGUUUUUUCAUAUUUUUGUGAAGCACCCUUAGUAAAAAUAUAAAACAUGUAUUUAUUGCCAUUUACCUUUUAAGGACCAU